rnacentral:rRNA from 1 species
AGUGAACGCUGGCGGUAGGCCUAACACAUGCAAGUCGAACGGCAGCACAGUAAGAGCUUGCUCUUACGGGUGGCGAGUGGCGGACGGGUGAGGAAUACAUCGGAAUCUACUUUUUCGUGGGGGAUAACGUAGGGAAACUUACGCUAAUACCGCAUACGACCUACGGGUGAAAGCAGGUGAUCUUCGGACCUUGCGCGAUUGAAUGAGCCGAUGUCGGAUUAGCUAGUUGGCGGGGUAAAGGCCCACCAAGGCGACGAUCCGUAGCUGGUCUGAGAGGAUGAUCAGCCACACUGGAACUGAGACACGGCCCAGACUCCUACGGGAGGCAGCAGUGGGGAAUAUUGGACAAUGGGCGCAAGCCUGAUCCAGCCAUACCGCGUGGGUGAAGAAGGCCUUCGGGUUGUAAAGCCCUUUUGUUGGGAAAGAAAAGCAGCAGGUUAAUACCCCGCUGUUCUGACGGUACCCAAAGAAUAAGCACCGGCUAACUUCGUG